CGGGCGGUAGCUCAGCUUGGUAGAGCUUCCGAACCUGCUGGCAACCUCCCAGCUGGUGGAGAAGCUGUAGACGUCCACCCGUUGGUGGACGUUUCUCAGCCUACCAAGCGUACACUUGCAGAAACCGGAGUGUCGCAGGUUCAAAUCCUGCCCGCCCGACCA
rnacentral:tRNA from 1 species